rnacentral:rRNA from 1 species
CCUACGGGAGGCAGCAGUGAGGAAUAUUGGUCAAUGGACGAGAGUCUGAACCAGCCAAGUAGCGUGAAGGAUGACUGCCCUAUGGGUUGUAAACUUCUUUUAUAUGGGAAUAAAAUGUUCCACGUGUGGGAUUUUGUAUGUACCAUAUGAAUAAGGAUCGGCUAACUCCGUGCCAGCAGCCGCGGUAAUACGGAGGAUCCGAACGUUUUCCGGAUUUAUUGGGUUUAAAGGGAGGCUAGGUGGAUUGUUAAGUCAGUUGUGAAAGUUUGCGGCUCAACCGUAAAAUUGCAGUUGAAACUGGCAGUCUUGAGUACAGUAGAGGUGGGCGGAAUGCGUGGUGUAGCGGUGAAAUGCUUAGAUAUCACGAAGAACUCCGAUUGCGAAGGCAGUUCACUGGACUGCAACUGACACUGAGGCUCGAAAGUGUGGGUAUCAAACAGGAUUAGAUACCCGAGUAGUC